AAACUGGAAAUUGUUAUUUGUUGGCUGGAGACAUUGAUGAAAAUAGUUGUUCCUCUGAAAGUUGCGAUGAUCCUGGAAUGAAAAUAUACAAAAUGCGUGUGACUGAAGAAGAAUCCACAACAACUUCAUUUCCAGAAAUAACAACCACUACAACGACUGCACCAUCAACUCAGCCCGAUACAACUACAGAGAUAGUCGACACUACAACUGAAGCAAUUACUACCACUACAGAGGUGACAUCUACUACAACUGACACUACGACGACAGUUGGUCCUACGACGACAACUGCAG